ACACCGGAGAGGGAGCCUGAGAAACGGCUACCACAUCCAAGGAUGGCAGCAGGCGCGCAAAUUACCCAAUCCUGACACGGGGAGGUAGUGACAAUAAAUAACAAUACGGGGUUCUUUCGGAUCUCGUAAUUGGAAUGAGUACAAUUUAAAUCUCUUAACGAGGAACAAUUGGAGGGCAAGUCUGGUGCCAGCAGCCGCGGUAAUUCCAGCUCCAAUAGCGUAUAUUAAAGUUGUUGCAGUUAAAAAGCUCGUAGUUGAAUUUCGGGGUUAGUAGGUUGGUCAUGCCUCUGGUAUGUACUGAUCUCACUGAUUCCUCCUUCCUGAUGAACCGUAAUGCCAUUAAUUUGGUGUUGCGGGGAAUUUGGACUGUUACUUUGAAAAAAUUAGAGUGUUUAAAGCAAGCUAACGCUUGAAUACAUUAGCAUGGAAUAAUGAAAUAGGACGUUCGAUCCUAUUUUGUUGGUUUCUAGGAUUGACGUAAUGAUUAAUAGGGAUAGUUGGGGGCAUUAGUAUUCAAUUGUCAGAGGUGAAAUUCUUGGAUUUAUUGAAGACUAACUACUGCGAAAGCAUUUGCCAAGGAUGUUUUCAUUAAUCAAGAACGAAAGUUAGGGGAUCGAAGACGAUCAGAUACCGUCGUAGUCUUAACCAUAAACUAUGCCGACUAGGGAUCGGAUGAUGUUAAUUUUUUAAUGACUCAUUCGGCGCCUUACGGGA
rnacentral:rRNA from 1 species